AUUGAACGCUGGCGGCAGGCCUAACACAUGCAAGUCGAGCGGAGCGGCGGACGGGUGCGUAAUGCUCAUGAAUCUGCCUGGUCGUGGGGGAUAACGUUCGGAAAUGGGCGCUAAUACCGCUUACUAUUACCUGCGCCUCGGUCGGAUUAGCUAGUUGGUGGGGUAAAGGCCUACCAAGGCGACGAUCCGUAACUGGUCGGAGAGGAUGAUCAGUCCCACUGGAACGGAGACACGGUCCAGACUCCUACGGGAGGCAGCAGUGGGUAAUAUUGGACAAUGGGCGAAAGCCUGAUCCAGCCAUGCCGCGUGUGUGAAGAAGGUCUUCGGAUUGUAAAGCACUUUAAGUGGGGAGGCGUUACCAGCAGAAGAAGCACCGGCUAACUUCGUGCCAGCCGCCGCGGUAAUUC
rnacentral:rRNA from 1 species